UGUUGCUAUUCGGGUUUAUUUAUACCCCUCCUUGAGAGAUGAGGGAGAUACGAGGAUAGCUAAGUGAUACAGCCCCUUUUCUUGUUCAAUUUUCCCAUUUUUCUUCGUGAUUUGAGUGGGUUAAAGGAUCUGUGUGAUCUGUGAGAGUUCUUUGUGAGUUCAGUGUGUUUCUGUGUGAGAACAAAGAAAACGGGGGCUUUCGUGGGUUUUAGAUCUUGGAUAUCUCCAAGAUCUGUUCUGGGUUUGGGUUGAGAAAAGAGUGAGGAGAGAGUGAGUAUCUUUGCUGCGUGUUUGGGCUUGUUACCGGAAUCGUUGGCUGCCUCAUCCGGGAUCGGUGUGUAGCUCGUGGGAACUGUGAACUGAGCCGUGGAUUCUCCUCAGAUCUGAUAGAUAGAUCUUCUGGGUUAGCAU
rnacentral:lncRNA from 1 species